rnacentral:misc_RNA from 1 species
GAUGAAGAACGUAGCGAAAUGCGAUAAGUAAUGUGAAUUGCAGAAUUCAGUGAAUCAUCGAAUCUUUGAACGCACAUUGCGCCCGCCAGUAUUCUGGCGGGCAUGCCUGUUCGAGCGUCAUUACAACCCUCAGGCCCCCGGGCCUGGCGUUGGGGAUCGGCGGAGCCCCCCGUGGGCACACGCCGUCCCCCAAAUGCAGUGGCGGUCCCGCCGCAGCUUCCAUCGCGUAGUAGCUAACACCUCGCGACUGGAGAGCGGCGCGGCCACGCCGUAAAACACCCAACUCUUCUGAAGUUGAUCUCGAAUCAGGUAGGAAUACCCGCUGAACUUAAGCAUAUCAAUAAGCGGAGGA